CAGCGGAGGCGCGCCAGAGCCAGAGCGUCUCGAGCUGAGCUGAUGGACGGAGCGAAGACCGCUGGAAUCAUGACUCUGCUGACCUCUCACCCCGACCCCCUGCCCUAACCUCCCCCUCUCCCCCAGAUCUCCCCCCUCUCGCAGCCCCGCCGUCCAGAAGCGCGUGUCAGUGGAUCCGAGCCGCUCGCUCCUUGUCGCUCUCCCGGUUCGUCCCGGACUUCUCCCCGGUGUUCUCCCCGGUGAUCUCCCGGUGUUGUCUAGGGACCGGAGGGACGCGAUGUGGAGGUCCGGCCUACUGCUGCUCCUGGCCGGACACCUCGUCUCAUGUGAGCUGCAGCCGGACCCCGGGAUAACCCCGCCGCCCGGGAGACCCCCGCCGCCCGGGAGACCCCCCCGGGAGAGGCUGGACUUCGGUUCCGUCCCGGCGGGGGUCUACGAGACCCUGGCCCACUACGAGCCAGGACCUAUCGGGAUCCUCUUCAGCCUGGUGCACGCCUUCCUGUGCGUGGUCCAGCCAAACCCCUUCCCCCAAGAUCUCAUCGUAAAACUGGUGAAGGAGAAGUUUGGAGCGCCUCAGACGGAGUAUCAGAAGCCAGAGAACAUAGUCCUGACCCUGCAGGUGCUCUACUAUGAACUGGGCUUCCUGCUGUGUGCGGCGGUGGGCGUGGUGUACCUGGUGCUCCUCCCCCUCGCCGGCCUCCUGCUGUGUAUCUGCCGUUGCUGUGACAACUGCGGAGGGGAAAUGCACCAGCGGCAGCGGAAGAACGCCGACUGUCAGCGCGGCCUUCUGGGAACGCUACUGUUCACCACCUCGCUGGUCAUCAGCAUCGGAGUGCUGUGUGCCUACACAGCCAAUCAGACGCUGAGCUCUCAGGUGAAGAACGUCAGGCGAUUGGUCAACAGCAACAUGAGGGACCUUCACACCUUCGUCAACGACACGCCCACGCAAAUUGACUUCCUGGUCUCUCAGUACUCGACUGCGAAAGGAAAAGUUCUGUAUGACCUCGACAAUAUAGGUCCUCUACUUGGCGGAAGGAUACACGGGCAGCUAGGGAAGGAGGUCCGGCCUGCCAUGGACGGAGCGCUCAGUCUGGCUGGAGUGAAAAUCGAAAGAGCCCUAAAAGCGAUGCGAGAGACGAGGGAGGCUCUGGAGAAUGCCAGUGUGUCUCUGGAGGUGCUCCAGGAGGGCAGCGGGAAGCUGGCCUUCAGCCUGAGUCUGAUGAGGAGCAGUCUGAGGCGCAGCCUGGACGACCCGGCCUGCAGGGACCCCAAGAACCAGCCCACCUCCGCCCAGCUCUGCAGCGCCAUCCAGAGCUCCCUCAGCCACCUCCACCUGCACGCCAACUACUCCAGGCUGGCAAGUGUGAACCCUCAGCUGGAGAAGAUGAACCAGGUUCUGCAGACAGACUUGAGAGCCGUCAUCCAGAGGGGCUACUCGUCUCUGAACAAUACUCCUUCCAUGGUGGUGGAUCAGACCACGUCCGUGGUGGAGGGGGUGAGAGGGCUGUUGGACGGCAUUGGCUCCAACAUCAGCAGCUUCUCCAAGGGUUUCCCGGUCCGAAGCAGUCUGGCCAACUUCACCAUCUUCAUCAACCAGGCCCACUCGUCCAUCGAGGACCACUACCCCCAGCUGGACCAGGCAGACUUCUACAGGUGGGCUGGCUGCAUCGCGCUGUGCUGCAUGCUGGUCCUGGUCCUGGCCUUCAACUACCUGGGCCUGCUGUGUGGAACGCUGGGCUACGACAAACACGCCUCACCCACCACCCGGGGCUGCAUCUCCAACACUGGGGGCACCCUGCUCAUGGCGGGGGUGGGCUUCAGCUUCCUGUUCUCCUGGCUGCUCAUGGGGGUCGUCACCGCCGCCUUCCUGGUUGGGGGGAACCUGGAGAAGCUGCUCUGUGAGCCCUACCACAGCAAGGAGCUCUUCAAGCUCCUGGACACGCCCCACAUGGUGGACCCCCAGUGGAGGAACUUCAUCCCCGGGUUCCUGUACAACGACUCGGACCUGGACCUCACCGUGGAGAACCUGUACAGUAACUGUAAGGAGAACAGGGGUAUCUACUCCGCCGGGCGUCUGGAUAAGAUCUUCAACAUCACAGCGUUCCUCAACACAACCCUGUUCACCAGGGAGGUGGUGUCGGUGCUGGAGGGGAUCCGUCUGGACCUGGGUGGGGUGGAGCUGCUGCAGGCGGAGGGGCGGCAGAACCUUCUGGACUUCUCUGAGUCCGGCCUGUCAGAGAUCAACUACGCCCAAUACCUGGAGGAGGUGAAUAAAGGUGUGACGGUGGAGGACCUGCUGACCUUCACCAGCCAGCUGGAGGCCCAGACGGACCUCAUGCCCGAGGGGCCCCUCCAGACCGCUCUGAAGGGCCACACCAGCACCCUGAGACAGAUCCACAGCCAGCAGGUGGUGCCACUGGAGCAGGCCAUGAAAUAUGUGAGAGCCAGGAGUGCGUUGAACCAGAGUAUGAGGUUCCUGGAGCGAACGGCCUCCGACCUGCCAAACAAAGUUUUGGCCGUUUUAAACGCCCUGGAUGAAGCCCAAUACCUAAUCUCCAAGAAUGCAACACAACUGACCAGUCAGGAGACGAAGCUGUACAAGGACGUCAUCGUUGGCUACUUCCAGCAGUACAUUGACUGGGUGAAGAGCUCGCUGGCAUUGGAGGUGGCGACCUGUAAGCCCUUGAGCAACAUGGUGGACACUACCCACAUCCUCACUUGCAACUUCCUGCUGGACGCCAUGAACACGUUCUGGAUGGGUCUGGGCUGCAGCACGCUGUUCCUCCUGCCCAGCAUCGUCCUCGCCGUGAAGCUCGCCAAGUUCUACCGCCGCAUGGAAACAGAGGACGUCUACGACGACAAUGACACAAUCCCCAUGAAAACGUAAGAGUUAUUUUACCCAGAAUUCCUUUCCCCUGUCUUUGUUGUUCUGUGUCCUUUUCCUGCCUUUAAUCUCCUGCUUUUCGAUAGUUGAACUGGAUUCAGUAUUUGUACUGGUUUCACUGGUUUCAUUGGUUUAACUUGGGUGCUGGUGGAGGUCUGUGAAGCUGUGGGUGCUGGGGUCUCCUGGGGUCUUCAGACGUGUCCCUCCUCAUUGGUCAGAUCCACCUGACCAGCGUUACCAGUUUAGUGUUCAGAUCCCCCUGACCAGCGUUCCCAGUGUAGUGUUCAGAUCCCCCUGACCAGCGUUCCCAGUGUAGUGUUCAGAUCCCCCUGACCAGCGUUCCCAGUGUAGUGUUCAGAUCCCCCUGACCAGCGUUCCCAGUGUAGUUUUCAGGCCACUCUGUCCUUCAGUAGAAGAACCUUUCUGUUCAGUACUGACGGAGGCCUGCAGGGGGCGCUCUACAUGUGGUGUGUUUGUCGCGUUAGUAAUGGUUAUCAUAGAGGGGUUGUAAUGGUUACCAUAGUGGUUUAAUGGUUAUCAUAGAGAUAUUGUAAUGGUUACCAUAAUGGUGUAAUGGUUAUCAUAGAGGGGUUGUAAUGGUUACCAUAAUGGUGUAAUGGUAGUAAUGGUUAUCACAGAGAGGUUGGCCCGGCAGUGCUGAGACCGCCUCACAGUGUUCCCUCCUAUGACACUAUGACCAGGUUUCCCCGGGCCUCCGCCCCCCCGAGCUACAUCGACUGGUGACGGAGUGAAAGUGGCCCGGCAGGGUGGAGCUAAACAAUGGUCUACCACAGGAGAAGACCACGGGAAGUCUCUGCUCCCUCCUCCAAUCAACAAUCACAAAACAUAAUCAAUGAAAGACCAGCAAAGCCCCCCGACCCACUCUCCAGCCAGGGAUCUCUCUCACCACGCCUGGAGCCUCCAGGGUCUCUCCUAGAGCCUCCAGGUUCUCUCCAGAACCCUCCAGGAUCUUCCUUUUUUCUAGUUUUUCAUUCUUUUUUGACCUUUUGAAAAGGUCAAGGGAUGGUCACAGUGAACUGUGAGGAGUUGUGACCUUUCACCCCAGCUCCGGACCUAGUUGCUCCUCAUGUCUGGUGCUAGACCCUCCCAAAGUUCUUCCUGUUUCCUGUUUCCUGUUUCCAGUUUUGCGGACAAAAGAUGGGAUCGCUGACACCGACGACCUACCAGUCUGUAAUACUCAGAAUACUAACUCAUGGUUUCAUCCCAGUGAAGCUCAAAGAAACCCUUCUUUGUUCAAGUCUCAAUGUUUACAACCUUCUGUGGGCACCAGAAGUCUCCUGCUGGUAGUGAUUUCAAACAAAGCAUGACUUUAAAACUUGUGUUGGAGCAUGGCCGACGUCCGCAUGCUGCCUUUAGUUUAUUAUUCGAUUCUUUAACCACACUUGAGGAUAUUGUGUUAAGAUGACUAACUCUAAACAUAUCAGUUUUGCUUUUGUAGUGCUCACUGAAGUGAGUAAUUUGCUUUUUUUUUGAGUACACUACUAUUUUUAUCAUAGCCUACAGAUCAACUCUUAAAUCUAUGGUAUGCCGGGCUAGAUUUAAAAGGUAUCAAACCAAAAAAAAGUCUCACCCCUCCCUGCAGCCCUCCCUCCAAAGCCACUCCCCCUAAUCACAUGACUUGCUCGCUAGUGUAGCCACAGGUCUGCUAGCCCUGUGGAAGACUCCUGUCAUGGUUUACUAGCUAGCUAGCUUUAGCCACAGCACUGAGAGCAUGGGCAGACAGCUUGCAGGUGUCCGGAUAAGAAGGUAGACAGACAGGCGAAUCACAGCUCUGUGCAGCCACAGAUAUCAGAUUUGUUUUUGUUUUUGUCAGAGCAUUUGAUUUACUGAUUGCUGAAAAUGUCAAUAAAAAUGACAAAAAUAUCCUUCUGAAAUAAAUUGCCUACCCUAGUUUU